UACGUAGGUGGCAAGCGUUGUACGGAAUUACUGGGUGUAAAGGGCGUGUAGGCGGGACUGCAAGUCAGAUGUGAAAGCCCCAGGCUCAACCUGGGGGCUGCAUCUGAAACUGUGGUUCUUGAGUGCUGGAGAGGAAAGCGGAAUUCCUAGUGUAGCGGUGAAAUGCGUAGAUAUUAGGAGGAACACCAGUGGCGAAGGCGGCCUUCUGGACAGUAACUGACGCUGAGGCGCGAAAGCGUGGGGAGCAAACAGG
rnacentral:rRNA from 1 species